AACGAACGCUGGCGGCAGGCUUAACACAUGCAAGUCGAACGCCCCGCAAGGGGAGUGGCAGACGGGUGAGUAACGCGUGGGAACGUACCUUUCAGUUCGGAAUAACUCAGGGAAACUUGUGCUAAUACCGGAUACGCUCGCAAGAGGAAAGAUUUAUCGCUGAAAGAUCGGCCCGCGUUGGAUUAGCUAGUUGGUGGGGUAAUGGCCUACCAAGGCGACGAUCCAUAGCUGGUCUGAGAGGAUGAUCAGCCACCCUGGGACUGAGACACGGCCCAGACUCCUACGGGAGGCAGCAGUGGGGAAUAUUGGACAAUGGGCGAAAGCCUGAUCCAGCCAUGCCGCGUGAGUGAUGAAGGCCCUAGGGUUGUAAAGCUCUUUCACCGAUGAAGAUAAUGACGGUAGUCGGAGAAGAAGCCCCGGCUAACUUCGUGCCAGCCGCCGCCGUAA
rnacentral:rRNA from 1 species